UCUAGGAUGAACGCUGGCGGCGUGCCUAACACAUGCAAGUCGAACGGAGUAUAUUCGCUGCAGAGAUUUCGGUCGAAGCUUGAGUAUACUUAGUGGCGGACGGGUGAGUAACGCGUGGGCAACCUGCCUCAUACUGGGGGAUAGCAGUUGGAAACGACUGAUAAAACCGCAUAAGCGCACGGUACCGCAUGGUACAGUGUGAAAAAACUCCGGUGGUAUGAGAUGGGCCCGCGUCAGAUCAGCUAGUUGGUGAGGUAAAGGCCCACCAAGGCGACGAUCUGUAGCCGGACUGAGAGGUCGGACGGCCACAUUGGGACUGAGACACGGCCCAAACUCCUACGGGAGGCAGCAGUGGGGGAUACUGCACAAUGGAGGAAACUCUGAUGCAGCGACGCCGCGUGAGUGAAGAAGUAUUUCGGUAUGUAAAGCUCUAUCAGCAGGGAAGAAAGGCCCGCAAGGGAGAUGACGGUACCUGACUAAGAAGCCCCGGCUAACUACGUGCCAGCAGCCGC
rnacentral:rRNA from 1 species